rfam:Felis catus isolate Cinnamon breed Abyssinian chromosome B2, whole genome shotgun sequence.
CCCUGGCUGGCUCAGUCGGUUGAGUGUCUGACUUUGGCUCAGGUCAUGAUCUCACAGUUCAUGGGUUUGAGCCCUAUGUUGGGCU